CCCCCCUCAGCAUACCCUUUGGGUGCGCUGGCGUUGGGGCUCCUCCGCCCUCUGUGGCGGCAGGGCCCUCAAAACCAGUGGCGGGCCCGUCUGGUUGGCUCCGAGCGCAGUACCGAACGCAAGUUCUCUCUCUCGCUCUGCAGCCCCGGUCGGUGCCCAGCCGUCAAACCGCGCAGGAGGCUCUGCUUGCAGAACCGCCUCGCAUUUUUACAAGGU
rnacentral:misc_RNA from 1 species